rnacentral:rRNA from 1 species
AUUGAACGCUGGCGGCAUGCCUAACACAUGCAAGUCGAACGCUACUUGAGGGGCAACUCUUAAGUGGAGUGGCGGACGGGUGAGUAAUACGUAGGAAUCUGCCUUAGAGUGGGGGAUAACCUGUCGAAAGACGGGCUAAUACCGCAUAACCUCUACGGAGCAAAGGGGGCUAGCAAUAGCUUUCGCUUUAAGAUGAGCCUACGUCGGAUUAGCUAGUUGGUAGGGUAAAGGCCUACCAAGGCGACGAUCCGUAGCUGGUCUGAGAGGACGAUCAGCCACACUGGAACUGAGACACGGUCCAGACUCCUACGGGAGGCAGCAGUGGGGAAUAUUGGACAAUGGGGGAAACCCCGAUCCAGCAAUGCCGCGUGUGCGAUGAAGGCCUGCGGGUUGUAAAGCACUUUCGGUGGGGAAGAAAUACUCAAAUAUAAUACAUUUGAGAGCUGACAUUACCCAAAGAAGAAGCACCGGCAAACUCUGUGCCAGCAGCCGCAGUAA